UUGCGAAGAAGUGUUCGUCUUCGCGUUGCGCAGAGGCUGCUCCGAGGACGAAGAAGGAGAAGGUUGAAAGUGUUCGGCAUCGUUCUUCGCAUCGUCAUGCAGAACUAUGGCAAUGUGAACAACCCUACAGGCCCCUACAAUGAUCCUCGGUUCGCCGACUACGUGCAAAAUCCCGCUGCCGCCGGUUCUUUCGAACAGCAACCGCCCAAUUAUGCUUUCCAGCCUCCACCUGGCUACGGGCCUCAUGGUGGUCAAGGCGGCCCAGCAACCGAUGUCCCGCAAGGUGUACCACAACCACAGAUGGGUGGAUAUGUUCCUGACUCUCCGCUCACCAUCGCUCAGAUGGAACAGUAUCGCAGAAUGAUCCCACAAUACUACAGCCCUUCUGGACAGCAUGCUGUUGGUGAUAGUACGCCAGGUGUACCCGGUGGGCUCCCGGUCAGACCCCAAUUUGAGCUCAAGUAAGUAUUGGAUAGUGUUUUGAAGUCAGGAUGCGAGCCGCUAGAGUCAAGGGUGUGCUCGUCUAAUAAGGACGGAAUACAAAAUGUGAAAAAAAAAAAAAAAAAAGGAACCGCACAGUCACGCGCCUUCUGUUGCAGAAACCAGCUGCACAGGGACAAGGCAUUGCUCAUCAUAGCGGGAACAAUAUUCUUCGGCGUCCUUCUUAUAACCAUAACGCUCUUCCUCUCCGAGACAGUGUUCCCGUCUUAUGCAAGUAUGUAGCACGUAGGAGCUAUGAUCGUGCACACCAGAGUGUAACGUAGGGGUUGACCGUAUCAUUCCAAUUAUUUACAGAUAACAUUUACACUGUUGUUGUACAAAUGCGAGAUGUAACCUACGCAAAGGCUUUUCACUUGCAGUAAUGUCAUGGUGACAAAAAAAAAAAAAAAAAGAA